rnacentral:rRNA from 1 species
UAGUCANAUNNUNUNUCAAAGNUUAANCCAUGCNNNNNNAGUAUAAGCAAUNANACCGUGAAACUGCGAAUGGCUCAUUAAAUCAGUUAUCGUUUAUUUGAUAGUACCUUACUACUUGGAUAACCGUGGUAAUUCUAGAGCUAAUACAUGCUAAAAACCCCAACUUCGGGAGGGGUGUAUUUAUUAGAUAAAAAACCAAUGCCCUUCGGGGCUCUUUGGUGAUUCAUGAUAACUUAACGGAUCGCAUGGCCUUGCGCCGGCGACGGUUCAUUCAAAUUUCUGCCCUAUCAACUUUCGAUGGUAAGGUAUUGGCUUACCAUGGUUUCAACGGGUAACGGGGAAUUAGGGUUCGAUUCCGGAGAGGGAGCCUGAGAAACGGCUACCACAUCCAAGGAAGGCAGCAGGCGCGCAAAUUACCCAAUCCCGACACGGGGAGGUAGUGACAAUAAAUACUGAUACAGGGCUCUUUUGGGUCUUGUAAUUGGAAUGAGUACAAUUUAAACCCCUUAACGAGGAACAAUUG